rnacentral:rRNA from 1 species
UACGUAGGGAGCAAGCGUUGUCCGGAAUCAUUGGGCGUAAAGCGCGCGUAGGUGGCCUCGUAAGUCCGCUGUGAAAGUCAAAGGCUCAACCUUUGAAAGCCGGUGGAUACUGUGAGGCUAGAGUACGGAAGAGGCGAGUGGAAUUCCUGGUGUAGCGGUGGAAUGCGCAGAUAUCAGGAGGAACACCGGUGGCGAAGGCGGUUCUCUGGGAAUGUCCUGACGCUGAGGAGCGAAAGUGUGGGGAGCGAACAGG